AUUAAGCGGUUGUCAGAGAAUGAGAUUCGUUGGAAACAUAAACAGCGUUUUGGUUAGGUUUGGUUAGGAAAGCGUGUGCGCGAUUCGUUAGAUCGGUAAAAUUCGAUUGAUAAAAAAAUUUUGGCUUAUUUGAACUUUUUCUUAAGAAGCGUGUGAAAGUUAGGAGGAUGAGUAGGCAGUAUUGACUACUCAGAUUACAACGAUAUUUUUAAAGAUAUACUAUACUAGAGGGAAUCGGUUCAAAAUAUAAACCGAGAAGUGGUAGAUUUCGUCAAUGCGCAAUAUUUAGGUACAGAUUCGGCAAAUGAAGACUAGUUUUGAAUUAAAAGGCUAUCUUGCUUUACAUGAUAUCAGAUUAAAUGAGAAAGUAAGUUUUGCCUAAUGGCAACAAACUUUUCCGCAAUUGUAGAGACUGACAUAAAUUCAGUGAACAGCUAAAAUAUGGAAGAAAUUUAUUUUAAAAUGAGGUUUUUACGUCAUAACAUUUUCUUGCCCAUUUUUUGCAUUAAACAGGAAACAGGGCCUGUAAAACAUCGUCUACCGUUAAGUGGUCCAAAAACUAAUGAGAACCCAAGGCUAUACAUUUUAUUAAUAGUUGAGGAUGAACCUAAUCAUGUAUCUUUUGAGGUAACGUAUAUGUUAGCCAAUCAAAAGCUUUGCAAGUAUUAAAAAUUAUUGGACCUCCCAAUCUAACUGGACCCCAAAUAUUUACAAUUUCUUUAAACUGACUUCUCUUCUCUACUAGUUUCUUUCCCAAAUUCAAAAUUUUACAUUGGUAAGAAAAGAUGCAAGAUAGAUGGCCUGCAAUAUCACCAGAUAUUAAUGCAGUGGAUUUUUGCUCUGUGGAUAUUUAAAAUUGAAAGUAUUUAAGGAAAAACCACAGAAAUAAGGCAAAUUAAUAAAAAUAUGUUGGGUAAUGUUUUGGAAAAGUUUUUAAACCAAUUAGCAUAUUGAUGAGGAAGUUUAAUGGUAUUUUAUUAUUAUUUAUUAUAUUAAUAUAGUUAUUUAUAUAAAAUAAGUAGUAGUGGUUUACAUUAAAAUAACCUCUUUUAAAGCUUUAAGAAGGAAUGUGGAAAAUAUAUACAAAAUAAGCUGUAGUACUUGAAUAAUGUACAGGGUGUUCCAAUUAAUGUUACCUACCCCCUUAUGUCACGAACGAUAGGAUUUUUAAUUUUUUUUUAAUUGCAAACUGAACAUCCUGAAUAUUAUUGGAUUAUUUUGGGUUCCCCAGAAAAUGGUAGACAGUUUUGAAUAAUUAACAAAAUUUUUCUCAUAAGGGAUACUUAAUUAUUUAGUUUUGGAAAAUGUAGUACAAAAAUUAAACGGUAAAAAACGUAAAAUGUAUUUUUUUUCGAUCUGGCAUUAAAAAUUAAGCCGACUUUGUAUAAGAUUGUGUAUACAAAUUGUAUUUUUCUCAAAGACACCAUUUUUGUUGAGGUUUGAUCAGGAUAUCUGAAUUUAUUAACAAGAGUACUAUAAACCAUUUUUUUAUGACUCGAAUUAAUUAAAACGGUCUCACGAACGCCACUGGUUGAAGAGAAAUAAGUGUUGAUCCAUGCCGUCAAUUUUUCCUUAUUCCUUCAAAUCUAUAACGAAUUUUUGGACAUAACCUUACGGUGAAGUUUCUUUAGUAUAAUUUGGACUGCCCUGUAUAUAAACAUUGCCUUUUAUUUAUCAAUUUACAAUUAAAAUUUUGUAGUCAGGUUUUAAUAGUAUUUUUGUCACUUUAUAAUUGUUUUUUCACUUUAUUUCCUUAACAUUUUGCUUUUUCCAACGAAAAUUUUAUUCUAUUAAAAGUUUUAUUCAGAAA